GAUGAACGCUAGCUACAGGCUUAACACAUGCAAGUCGAGGGGCAGCACAGUGUAGCAAUACAUGGGUGGCGACCGGCGCACGGGUGCGUAACGCGUAUCCAACCUUCCCGUUACUCUUGGAUAGCCUUCCGAAAGGGAGAUUAAUACAAGAUGGUAUUCAAAUUCCGCAUGUUAUUUGAAUUAAAGAUUUAUCGGUAACGGAUGGGGAUGCGUGACAUUAGAUAGUAGGCGGGGUAACGGCCCACCUAGUCUACGAUGUCUAGGGGUUCUGAGAGGAAGGUUCCCCCCACACUGGAACUGAGACACGGUCCAGACUCCUACGGGAGCAGCAGUGAGGAAUAUUGGUCAAUGGUCUGACGACUGAACCAGCCAUUGCCGCGUGAAGGUCACGGCCCUAUGGGUCUUAAACUUCUUUUGAAGGGAGCAAUAAGUCUCACGUGUGGGAUGAUGAGAGUACCCUUAGAAUAAGCAUCGGCU
rnacentral:rRNA from 1 species